CACACGUUUAAUAUUGUUUGUAAGUUCCCCAUGUUGACUGUUCUACUUCUAUUUACAGACUGCAGACGUAUUUGUUGGCGCUGGUCUCAGACACGACAAUUUUGUUCUAGAGACGGAAACGGCUGACCUAAGGAGACAGGUUUACAGAACACAUCAACGUAUUACAGUCAGAACCUGACAGCCCAGUUCCAGACUUACAAAAAGCCAUUCCAAAAUUGAAGACAGAAAGAACAUUCACAGACCCAACACACGUGUAGCUUCAAGAAAAUAGUCCCCACUUAUGUGACGUCACAUGACUCGAGUGAAGGAUGGAAAGCUGGGUAAAAGCCGAAACUAUACGGAAGAAACCGAAGUGGUGUUCUUGUUAGGUGUUUACGAUGAUUGCCAGGGAAACAUUAAGGAUAUGAACUGUUAAAAAAACCCGGAACGUCUUGGCAAGAAAAAAAACAAUAUCUACAAAAAGUCUUAGUUUUCUGGUGUAUGGACAAGCUUUCAAAUAAUCUCAACAUCUGCACCACAAUAUGAACAGUACGCGGAAAGAAGCCUCCAGUGUUAGCAAUUAUCGAAAAGUCCCAAACCACACGAAGGCUGCCAAGUCAUGUUCGCCUCAUUGUUGUAGAUUCGUCCGCUCUUCAAAACAAUGGACCUGACUUCCGAUUAGCAACGGAAACUCUGCAACGUAGCUUUUAUUUAAUCUACAAUCAACUAGCGAUCGAACCAUUAACUACACACUGGUGAAGACUUGAAUUUUGGUGUUUUGGAUUGUAACCCCGUGGGGAUUUCUGGAGCGAGGCAGGUUCCCUAACAACGCAGGCGUGUGGGUAGAUGGCCCCUCGAGACGGCUUGCUGCCCGGUCAAUCCACACUCGCAUG